UGGGGAAUAUUGGACAAUGGGCGCAAGCCUGAUCCAGCAAUGCCGCGUGUGUGAAGAAGGCCUGCGGGUUGUAAAGCACUUUAAGCAGGAAAGAAGGGCGAGAGGAUAAUACCCUCUUGCAUUGACGUUACCUGCAGAAUAAGCACCGGCUAACUCCGUGCCAGCAGCCGCGGUAAUACGGAGGGUGCGAGCGUUAAUCGGAAUUACUGGGCGUAAAGCGCGCGUAGGCGGUUUGAUAAGUCUGAUGUGAAAGCCCUGGGCUUAACCUGGGAACUGCAUUGGAUACUGUCAGACUCGAGUGUGGUAGAGGGUAGUGGAAUUUCCGGUGUAGCAGUGAAAUGCGUAGAGAUCGGAAGGAACACCAGUGGCGAAGGCGGCUACCUGGACCAACACUGACGCUGAGGUGCGAAAGCGUGGGGAGCAAACAGG
rnacentral:rRNA from 1 species